CAGGAACUUUAUUAAACUACAUGUUACAUAAAAGAACAUAUAAAUGGACCAUUAAAUACAUUCAGUUUAUUUUAAACAAAUUUACAUAGAUACUUAUUUACAUUUCUCCAUUGUAUUCUUAAAUUAUUUUUCCAAGCUUACUACCGAUAAAAGGUAAUACAAUGAUCAUCUGCUCACACAGAUGCAUAGAGAAGUUGUCCACAGGGCUAAGUAAAGCACCACUUCCCAGGAAACACAGCUUAUUAGAUCUUCCAGCAACAACUCAUGCUGAAGGUGCUCUCUUCUGAGCAGCCCUUGAGGUGAGGCUUUUGCUUUAGAGAUGCUGGGGGUUGGUUCUGAGGAGCUGACCCAGGGCAGAGAUGGGUCCUUGCUGAUUGACCUGACUUGGACUCACAGAGGUGGAAAGACCUGUGGAGACCAUCAUCGAGGCCAUGGCCCCACAUCUGUGAUAUGGGAAACAGGCUUGGGAAGAGGUGGUGACUUCCCAAAGUCACCCAGCAUCCAUGAUAGAGGAAGGGCCUGGGAGCUUGGUACCCAGGGUUCCUCCAAGAGGUCCCGAUCCCUCUGCUAUCCACAAAUCCACAAACUUAGAAUCACUUGCAUCCAUUUUCCACCACCAUGGACCUUAUGCUUUGAACUGUUUUGUCUACCUGAUUAAAUAUAUAACUUCUUAGGCUUCUUGAGAUGGUGAAAAGCAGCUCAGGAUUCCCAUAAGCAACUUUGUGGAGCCCUGGAAAUACCUACUCAGGGCUGUUUUUACAAGAGGUUUUGUGGUCAGGUGCUUUACUAUUUCAGCCAUAACGUUUACCUUUAAAACUCAGCUGACUUAUGGAAGCUCAGCAUUUCCAAUUCGCUUAGAUGACAGGCAACAGUCUGCAGAAGGGAGGUUCUAACGUCAACCACGUGGAUUCCCCACAAACGCAUCAUAUUUGCCUAAAUCCAUCUAUCUACCAAUGUCAGAUCUAAAAUGAGGUUUCACUAAUAAGUGACCUAAAAUUAAAAAAAACACAAAAAAGUUUCUUAAAAAAAAAAUUCCAAGAAUUUCCCCGUUUCCCAAUUAGUCUCAGAGGAGUCGUGAAAUGGGCAUUGGGUAGAAAAAGUCCCAUGUUUUCAACUGUUUCUUUUGAAUAAAGCCUGAUUCCCCCACUCUGCCCCCGAACUUUUCCCGAUGAUAUACAUUCUUCUGAAAGCAAUUUCAUGCUUUUAGUCUGCUUUAAAAAACCUGACUUGGUUCUUCUCAGUAUUUAAAAACCACUGUACCAAGGAAGAGAUGUCCACGUUAAAAACUAUUAUUAAGAGACAGAGACAAGGAGAGAGAGACUCUCUCCAGGCCAUGUUAGAAAAGAAGGAAGUGCUGGGAGCACACAAAGAGAGAAGAAAGGCUGGGAGACAGAAUGGUUUGCACCUCCCUGUAACCAGAGUGAACACAGGUCAUAGCAGCCUUCACUCAGUUUUAUAACAGACACACGAAUGGAGGAACAUGGGAUUGGAAAGACGCACACUGUCAAACAGCCCUGAUGCCUUUCCACUAAAAUAUGGCACUUCUAGAUUCCAGAGAAAUCCAGCAUUCUACCAGGGGCUGCCACCCAUCUGCAGGGAAGCCUGCCCUGCAACCAUGAGGCCCUCAAGGCUCAUACUCCACUGCUCACAAUGCGCGCCCUGAAUACAUGGAAGCAUCUGAUUUCUGUCUGAGUCCAACUUUCCCUCCUGUUCCUAGACAGACUCACACCCAGAGUCAUGCACGGAGAAGUGGGCAAGCCAGACAAUCUUCAGGGAGACACAGCCCAUCACAGGAUACCCAAGGCUUAUGGGGAAGUCCAGUUGCCAGCAACGGACCCUGUGUGGGCAGGUGAAACUCUGAAGCCAGAGAACACAGGAAGAUAAAAAUAUCUUCAUACUGAGGAUAUACUGGCCAAGUGUGGUGGCUCACACCUGUAAUCCCAGCACUUUGGGAGGCUGAGGGCCCUCGGAGUGGGCGCGGCAGGUCUUAUUUUCCUCAGGCUUCUGUCUGGGGAGGUUCCUGAGUGGUUUGGCACUGGGCUUCUUGAAAGAACCCCUGGGCUGCAGGGGAACGUCCCUCCCCGGACGGGUGCUGCUGGAGCCGCUGCUCCCCCGCGGCAGCCUCUGC
rnacentral:lncRNA from 1 species